GGCCCAGACUCCUGCGCGAGGCAGCAGUGCGGAAUUUU
rnacentral:rRNA from 1 species